CAGUCGCCACGGGAACACGAAGGGGGCUAGCGUUACUCGGAAUCACUGGGCGUAAAGGGUGCGUAGGCGGGUCUUUAAGUCAGGGGUGAAAUCCUGGAGCUCAACUCCAGAACUGCCUUUGAUACUGAAGAUCUUGAGUUCGGGAGAGGUGAGUGGAACUGCGAGUGUAGAGGUGAAAUUCGUAGAUAUUCACAAGAACACCAGUGGCGAAGGCGGCUCACUGGCCCGAUACUGACGCUGAGGCACGAAAGCGUGGGGAGCAAACAGGAUUAGAUACCCCAGUAGUCCCUGUCUCUUAUAC
rnacentral:rRNA from 1 species